rnacentral:rRNA from 1 species
AUGCAGGGCAUGCUACUACGGGGUGUACCUGCAGAGGCUGAUCUGGGUGGUGAGACCAGAUCUCUUCCAGCUGCCACCGGCACGAUCAGUGACAAGGAACGACGAAGCAUUCAAUCAACAGUCAAUAAGAAUCAAAAGCUUUGCUCUGAAGCCAGGUCUGAGAAGAUUGAAGCAAGGUCUGAGAAGAUUGAUGGAACAUCCAAGGCUGUGGUAGAUGCGGCGUUGGACAAGAUCGAUGCAGCAUCCAAGGGGGUGAUACAUGCGGCAUUGGAGAAGAUUGAUGCUGCAUCCAAUGUGAUGAUAGAUGCGGCGUCAGAGAAGAUCGAUGCAGCAUCCAAGGUGGUGAUAGGUACGGCAUCCAAGGUAAUGAUAGAUUCGGCGUUGGAGAAGAUCAAUGCAUCAUCCAAGGUAAUGAUAGAUUCGGCGUUAGAGAAGAUCGAUGCAGCAUCCAAGGUCAUUGAAGCCACAUCCAAGCAGCUGGACGCUAGAGCAGGCGAGCAAGAUGGUGACAUGCAGGAAAUGCAGUCACUCGUCCAGACGCUGGUUACCAAGGAACGACAAAGCAAUGGAGAGCUGCAACGUGCUCGGAAAAUGCUGAUAGAUGAACUGCCAAGGUUCGCAAAUGUGCAGGCACAUAUAGGCGUCAAAAGGAUGGGUGAGCUGGAUCUGAAAGCAUUUGCCAAUGCUUGCAUUAAAAAUGUAGCACAAGAGGAGGCACAAGUUAACUCUGCUAUUCUUUGUUCAAGAUGGCAAGCUGAAAUCGCAAACCCAGGCUGGCAUCCUUCUAGGAUAGUUAUGGUUGAUGGUAAAGAGAUGGAGUAUGGUGAGGAAAUCUACAGCUUAGUGACCAAGGCGCUACUUGAGAUGAACGAGUACAACCCCAACGGCCGCUACCCUGCACCAGAGCUGUGGAACGGCAAGGAUGAUCCGAAAGCGACACUGGAGGAAGCCAUCCAGUUCCUCCUGAGACAGCUGCAGUCACACAAGAGGAAGCGCCGAUGA